CGGGGGCGGGUCCUAAUACAUGCAAGUCGAACGAACUCUGGUAUUGAUUGGUGCUUGCAUCAUGAUUUACAUUUGAGUGAGUGGCGAACUGGUGAGUAACACGUGGGAAACCUGCCCAGAAGCGGGGGAUAACACCUGGAAACAGAUGCUAAUACCGCAUAACAACUUGGACCGCAUGGUCCGAGUUUGAAAGAUGGCUUCGGCUAUCACUUUUGGAUGGUCCCGCGGCGUAUUAGCUAGAUGGUGGGGUAACGGCUCACCAUGGCAAUGAUACGUAGCCGACCUGAGAGGGUAAUCGGCCACAUUGGGACUGAGACACGGCCCAAACUCCUACGGGAGGCAGCAGUAGGGAAUCUUCCACAAUGGACGAAAGUCUGAUGGAGCAACGCCGCGUGAGUGAAGAAGGGUUUCGGCUCGUAAAACUCUGUUGUUAAAGAAGAACAUAUCUGAGAGUAACUGUUCAGGUAUUGACGGUAUUUAACCAGAAAGCCACGGCUAACUACGUGCCAGCAGCCGCGGUAAUACGUAGGUGGCAAGCGUUGUCCGGAUUUAUUGGGCGUAAAGCGAGCGCAGGCGGUUUUUUAAGUCUGAUGUGAAAGCCUUCGGCUCAACCGAAGAAGUGCAUCGGAAACUGGGAAACUUGAGUGCAGAAGAGGACAGUGGGAACUCCAUGUGGUAGCGGGUGAAAUGCGUAGAUAUAUGGGGAGAACACCAGUGGGCGGAAGGCGGCUGUCUGGUCUGUAACUGACGCUGAGGCUCGAAAGUAUGGGGUAGGCAAACAGGAUUAGAUACCCUGGUAGUCCAUACCGUAAACAAUGAAAGGCUAAUGUUGGAGGGUUUCCCGCCCUUCAUGCUGCACUAACGCAUUAAGCAUUCCGCCUGGGGAGUUACGGCCGCAAGGCUGGAACUCAAAGAAAUUGAGCGGGGGCCGCACAAGCGGGGGGAGGCAGGUGGGGUUAAUUCGAAGCUACACCAAGAACCUUACCAGGUCUUGGAGAUACUAUGGAAAAUCUAAAAAAUGUAGACGUUCCCUUUCGGGAACAAUGGAUACAGAGUGAGUGCAUGGGUGGUCGAGUCAACCUCCGCUGUCGUGGAGAGAUGGUAGGAGGUUAAAUGCCCCCCGCAACGGAGACCGCAGCCCGUGUAGUAUGUAGUCGAGGAUUGGCC
rnacentral:rRNA from 1 species